GACGAACGCUGGCGGCGUGCUUAACACAUGCAAGUCGACCUAAGUGGCGAAAGGGGGAGUAAUACGUGGGUAAGCUGGUGUCCCUUUUGGGGUAAGCAUUGGAAACGGGGUCUAAUACGGAAUAAAGGGGGAUGGGCUCGUGGCGGAUCGGCAGUUUGGGGGGGUGAUGGCCUACCAAGGCGGUGAUGGGUCGACGGCCUGAGAGGGUGACCUGCCACAUUGGGACGGAGAUACGGCCUAGACUCAUACGGGAGGAAGCAGUGGGGGCUAUUGCAGAAUGGGCGAAAGCCUGAUGCAGCGAGGCCGCGUGGGGGAUGAAGGCUUUCGGGUUGUAAACCUCUUUCGCUAUCGAACGGGUAGGUGGAGAAGAAGCGCCGGCUAACUACGUGCCAGCAGCCGCGGUAAUUC
rnacentral:rRNA from 1 species